CACGCUGUAAACGAUGUCAACUAGCCGUUGGUCCUAUUUACAGGAUUAGUGGCGCAGCUAACGCAUUAAGUUGACCGCCUGGGGAGUACGGCCGCAAGGUUAAAACUCAAAUGAAUUGACGGGGGCCCGCACAAGCGGUGGAGCAUGUGGUUUAAUUCGAUGCAACGCGAAGAACCUUACCUACCCUUGACAUCCAGAGAAUCUGUUAGAGAUAGUGGAGUGCCUUCGGGAACUCUGAGACAGGUGC
rnacentral:rRNA from 1 species